CCUACGGGAGGCAGCAGUGGGGAAUAUUGGACAAUGGGGGAAACCCUGAUCCAGCCAUGCCGCGUGUGUGAAGAAGGCCUUUUGGUUGUAAAGCACUUUAAGCAGUGAAGAAGACUCUGRGGUUAAUACCCGCAGACGAUGACAUUAGCUGCAGAAUAAGCACCGGCUAAU
rnacentral:rRNA from 1 species